CAAUGAGAUCCAAUUUGUUGAAACAAGUGACCCUGCCGUUGCAAAAGUUCUCUUCCCGGAUAGCAAAUCUACUAAUUUCAUUGGAAUUGUUAAAAGUGAGCCUGAAAGAUACACUGCAUAUGAAGGGACCUUUGAGAUGGACAAGAUAUUGCAGUUUUUGGACUAUAACAAGUUUCCAUUGGUUACCAGACUAACUGAACUAAAUUCAGGCAGAGUUUAUUCCAGUCCUAUCAACCUUCAGGUUAUUGUCUUUGCAGAGGCUGAUGAUUUCAAAAAUCUUAUCCAGCCUCUUCAAGAGGUUGCUAGGAAGUUCAAAUCACAGAUAAUAUUCAUACAUAUAGACGUUGCAGAUGAAAACCUAGCAAAGCCUUUCUUAACUUUAUAUGGGCUAGAAGAGUCAGGAAACACAGUGGUGACUGCUUUUGAUAACAGAAUCCAUUCGAAAUAUUUGUUACAGGCAGAUCCAACGCCAAGCAACAUAGAAGAGUUCUGUUCAGCAUUUCUCAGUGGUAGUCUGUCACCUUACUUCAAAUCACAACCAAUACCUGAUAAUAAAGAAGCAAAUGUCCAGGUCAUUGUAGGAAAGACUUUUGAUGACUUAGUAUUGAGCAGUCCCAAGAAUGUUCUUCUGGAGAUAUACGCCCCAUGGUGCAUCAAUUGUGAGACCACAAGUAAGCAGAUCGAGAAGUUGGCAAAGCAUUUCAAAGGUUUGGAAACUUUAGUAUUUGGAAAGAUAGAUGCUUCUGCCAAUGAACAUCCAAAACUGCAGGUAGAUGAUUACCCAACACUUCUAUUUUACCCUGUGGGUGACAAAGCAAAUCCGAUCAAGCUUUCAACAAAAUCUAGUUCAAAGGACUUGGCAGCAGUCAUCAACAAAUAUUUAAGAGCCGAAGAAAAAUCCACCAAGGAUGAAUUAUAGAAAUAUAGCGAAUGAGGAUACAAAAAUUUAGUUAGUAAGAGAAGGCUUAAGCUGGAUGAGAUUCUCCACAGAAUCCUGAAAGUAAAUUUUUUCAGAAAGUGCUGAAAGAAAUGUUACAAAACCCUAAAGUAAUUAAACUUGCUUGCAUAUGUUUGGAUAUUUUUCAAGGUUACAACAACAGCAAGCAGUGGUGGAUAAUAAAAGCAAACCUAGAAGAUCUAUAUUCUUAAAGUCAUGUAUUUAGCUCCC
rnacentral:misc_RNA from 1 species